rnacentral:rRNA from 1 species
UACGUACGAGGCAAGCGUUAUCCGGAAUUAUUGGGCGUAAAGCGCGCGCAGGCGGGCUGUUAAGGUAGGGCGUGAAAUCUCCCGGCCUAACUGGGAGGGUCGCUCUAAACUGGCAGUCUUGAGGACAGCAGAGGUAGGUGGAAUUCUGGUGUAGUGGUGAAAUGCGUAGAGAUAGGAGGAACACCGGUGGCGAAGGCGGCCU